rnacentral:rRNA from 2 species
AAAUUGAAGAGUUUGAUCAUGGCUCAGAUUGAACGCUGGCGGCAGGCCUAACACAUGCAAGUCGAACGGUAACAGGAAGCAGCUUGCUGCUUUGCUGACGAGUGGCGGACGGGUGAGUAAUGUCUGGGAAACUGCCUGAUGGAGGGGGAUAACUACUGGAAACGGUAGCUAAUACCGCAUAACGUCGCAAGACCAAAGAGGGGGACCUUAGGGCCUCUUGCCAUCGGAUGUGCCCAGAUGGGAUUAGCUAGUAGGUGGGGUAACGGCUCACCUAGGCGACGAUCCCUAGCUGGUCUGAGAGGAUGACCAGCCACACUGGAACUGAGACACGGUCCAGACUCCUACGGGAGGCAGCAGUGGGGAAUAUUGCACAAUGGGCGCAAGCCUGAUGCAGCCAUGCCGCGUGUAUGAAGAAGGCCUUCGGGUUGUAAAGUACUUUCAGCGGGGAGGAAGGCGAUAAGGUUAAUAACCUUGUCGAUUGACGUUACCCGCAGAAGAAGCACCGGCUAACUCCGUGCCAGCAGCCGCGGUAAUACGGAGGGUGCAAGCGUUAAUCGGAAUUACUGGGCGUAAAGCGCACGCAGGCGGUCUGUCAAGUCGGAUGUGAAAUCCCCGGGCUCAACCUGGGAACUGCAUUCGAAACUGGCAGGCUAGAGUCUUGUAGAGGGGGGUAGAAUUCCAGGUGUAGCGGUGAAAUGCGUAGAGAUCUGGAGGAAUACCGGUGGCGAAGGCGGCCCCCUGGACAAAGACUGACGCUCAGGUGCGAAAGCGUGGGGAGCAAACAGGAUUAGAUACCCUGGUAGUCCACGCCGUAAACGAUGUCGACUUGGAGGUUGUGCCCUUGAGGCGUGGCUUCCGGAGCUAACGCGUUAAGUCGACCGCCUGGGGAGUACGGCCGCAAGGUUAAAACUCAAAUGAAUUGACGGGGGCCCGCACAAGCGGUGGAGCAUGUGGUUUAAUUCGAUGCAACGCGAAGAACCUUACCUACUCUUGACAUCCAGAGAACUUUCCAGAGAUGGAUUGGUGCCUUCGGGAACUCUGAGACAGGUGCUGCAUGGCUGUCGUCAGCUCGUGUUGUGAAAUGUUGGGUUAAGUCCCGCAACGAGCGCAACCCUUAUCCUUUGUUGCCAGCGGUUAGGCCGGGAACUCAAAGGAGACUGCCAGUGAUAAACUGGAGGAAGGUGGGGAUGACGUCAAGUCAUCAUGGCCCUUACGAGUAGGGCUACACACGUGCUACAAUGGCGCAUACAAAGAGAAGCGACCUCGCGAGAGCAAGCGGACCUCAUAAAGUGCGUCGUAGUCCGGAUUGGAGUCUGCAACUCGACUCCAUGAAGUCGGAAUCGCUAGUAAUCGUGGAUCAGAAUGCCACGGUGAAUACGUUCCCGGGCCUUGUACACACCGCCCGUCACACCAUGGGAGUGGGUUGCAAAAGAAGUAGGUAGCUUAACCUUCGGGAGGGCGCUUACCACUUUGUGAUUCAUGACUGGGGUGAAGUCGUAACAAGGUAACCGUAGGGGAACCUGCGGUUGGAUCACCUCCUUACCUUAAAGAA